GUCAUCACAACAACCCCCAAACCUCCCUCCCUCUGGCCUUACCCUAUCAGUCUCUCAAACUGCCAGCCACAGGGCCUUUGUACCUGCAUGCUGUCCUCUUGUCAGGCUUCCCUCUCCUCCACUCAUCUUUCUGGUCUUAGCCCAAUUGCUCUCUCCUCUGGGACAGCUCAGAAAGUCUGUUCCCAACAUGGCCAGCCUGGGUAUCUUCCUGUGCUUACUUGGGCAGUCGCCUUGCUAGGAAUAAGGCUUGAGUUCCUCAGGGUCCCAGCACAGCACAAGUGUUGAACUCUUUUGUCUGUAUUAGUAAGGCGAGAGCUUUAGACCCUUAUGUACAGCGUGUGGCUGUCAGGAAACACACAGGGCUGAAAUAUGAUCCCUGCUUAGACCUCAGCUUCUCUUCCCAGGAAGUGGAGGACUCUAGACUCCCCAUGAGUCUAUGCCCAGGACUGUGUACCCUGACACUGGCAAGCAAAGUGUGGGUCCCAAGUUCAGAAUCCCCAAGGUGAAGAGAGCACAGGGUGGGGGAUCCAGUCCUGACCUUAGCUAGGGAGAUGGGGACUGCCCUCUCGACACAGAGGCUGGAGGAUGGCCCUAUGCACAGGAAGCAGUUCAGGGAGGCAUGGAGUUGACCCAGAGUCCUUGACAGCAGCAAGCAGGCCUGUCCUGGAGCACACACUGGUGGGAGCAGAGCCAGGCAGCAAGUGGUGUCUGACCAGCGUCAACUCCCCGAGCUGGAAAUGGACUGCCCAAGAGGAUGGCUGGAUCACAGUUCUCUCCAGCCCCAAGGUGAUACCAGUACUCACAAGAGACAAGCCCCGUGCUCCCCAGGCCCUGGACUCACAAGAGACAAGCCUUUGUGUUGUUGUAAAAAUAUAAAAAUAAAAUGGUAUAGAUGUCUUUUACCGGCUUGGUUCGCACCUCGGUGCCCCAAGAUAUCUGCUAGAUAUCUUGGCGGAAACACAGCCCAGCUGCACACUUUCCUACACUCAAACCCUUACAUAAAAGAACACACA
rnacentral:lncRNA from 1 species